rnacentral:rRNA from 1 species
GGAUAACCCUGGGAAACUGGGGCUAAUACUGGAUAGGCAAUUAUUCCUGCAAUGGUUUUUUGUUUAAAUGUUUUUUCGCCUAAGGAUGGGUCUGCGGCCGAUUAGGUAGUUGGUUAGGUAAUGGCUUACCAAGCCGUUGAUCGGUACGGGUUGUGAGAGCAAGAGCCCGGAGAUGGAACCUGAGACAAGGUUCCAGGCCCUACGGGGUGCAGCAGGCGCGAAACCUCCGCAAUGUGAGAAAUCGCGACGGGGGGAUCCCAAGUGCCAUUCUUAACGGGAUGGCUUUUCAUUAGUGUAAAGAGCUUUUGGAAUAAGAGCUGGGCAAGACCGGUGCCAGCCGCCGCGGUAACACCGGCAGCUCUAGUGGUAACAAUUUUUAUUGGGCCUAAAGCGUC